CAGACAGGCUACAGGAAAUAGCAGAUUGGGAGAGGAGUGGGAACAGGAGAAGCUGUCUUUGGCUCGGCUGGAAGGUGAAGGGAUUCCAGAUGCCGGUUCCUGGCUUGCUCCCCGCUCUCCAUUUGGCUUCAUCCUGGGGCUCUCUUCCUCCCCACAGAGGGGUGGUGGGCACUCUGUGCCACACCUCUCCUCUCUGGGAUCUCAGGUCUGUCCCUGAAACCUGCUGGUAGAAGAACCUCUAGAGUCCUUGCCUCCUUCCCACCGUGUGACCAUUGCCCAUUGGCACAUCUGUCAAGACACAGAUUUUUGGAAGAAAAAAGAAAGAGUGAAUGCUGCAGAGAUGGAUUGUUAAUUUUCCAAAUGAGAUAUGACUCUGAGAUCCCACCUACCCAGCUGGUAGGACGUUCCACCAUGCUCCCUAAGGUGGUUUGAGUGUUUGGAAUGACAAAGACUCUCUCAUCACCCUGAAACCUUAGUCCGGCGGCGCCUCUGAGUCUUCUGCUUGACGAGGCCUGACCUUGGGCUUCCCCAUGUCCUUUCAGAAUCCAGUUUGAGCAAGAAUCCUGCUAAGUCAGGUUUCUACCAUUUCAAUUCUUUGUGGAACUCAAUCUGUUUUCUUAACUGAUGCAAAAAAGACCACUUAAAGAUGGAGUCUCGCUCUGUCGCCCAGGCUGGAGUGCAGUGGUGCGAUCUCGGCUCACUACAAGCUCCGCCUCCUGGGUUCCCACUAUUCUCCUGCCUCAGCCUCCCAAGUAGCUGGGACUACAGGUGUCUGCCACCACGCCCAGCUAAUUUUUUGUAUUUUUAGUAGAGAUGGGGUUUCACCGUGUCAGCCAGGAUGGUCUCGGUCUCCUGACCUUGUGAUCCGCCUGCCUCGGCCUCCCAAAGUGCUGGGAUUACGGGCAUGAGCCACAGCGCUCAGCCCUAAUUUUUGUAUUUUUAGUAGAAAAGGGGUUUCACUAUGUUGGCCAUGCUGGUCUUGAAUUCCUGAACUCAGGUGAUCCGCCCACCUUGACCUCCCAAAAUGCUGGGAUUACAGGCAUGAGCCACCGCACCUGGUUUCUUAACAUUCUUUGCCACCUCCUCUGCUAUAUCUAUUUACUUUGUAUCCACCAGAUCGAAAGCUCAGGUCUAAUUCCCUGUACCUAGAAUAUUGCCUGUAGUGUAGUAGGCACUUAAGGUUUUGUUGAGUGAGAGAAUGAAUAAACAAACAGAAGGAUUUGCUUUUCAAACCAGAGCCUCCCUGCCUCCUGCUCUGCCUGCUAAGGAUCAGGAGGAGACAGCAGCUAAGGAAGGCAGUCCUGAAUUUUCCCUAGGGAUAGGGAGUAAGUGGGGGGAUCCCUGAGAAACGCUGGAAGCACCCACUCUGCUGCCAAGGCUGCGAGGAAAACAGGCCAGAGUAUCCUAACAGCCUCCACUCAGAAGGGGCCUGGAAACUUUUAACCAGACAAAAUAACAAAUGCAGUGGUUUAGGGCUUGGUGGGGCUUCCCACCCGUCCCACCCCUGUCCCACACACCUAGGCCCACAUUGAAUGCCCUCAGCACCUCCGGCUGCACAGGGGCCUGUUUUCCCUGACUCUGCUGCUGUUCACAGAACCAACUUCCUCCCACCCCACACAGACGCUCCCUUCCCAGAGCUCAUUGGGAACCUUCUGAUUUGCAUCUCCAAAGAAAUAAAAUAAAU
rnacentral:lncRNA from 1 species